CUGAAAUAGCAAAUUUUUCACAUAAGCGUGCGCGC
rnacentral:sRNA from 1 species